GGGGGAGGCGGGGGCCGUCCCGUCGGUUUCCGCGGGCGGGGGCGUAGGGCCGGGGGGAGCGGCCGGGGGAGCUCGGCGGCCGCCGUCUUACGACAGAUCCUGGAAAGAGGAUCAAGGUGGGGCCCGCCCCGCCGCGCACCGCCGGCAACCGACGGGGCGGCCCGGGCUCGGCCGCUGGGAGCACGGCGGAGAGCUGCAGGCGGCGAGGUGCCCUCCCGUCGGGGCCGCGCUGCGCUGCCCGGCCCGAGGGGCUGUUUACCCGGGCGGGGGGAGGCAGAUAAGGCGGAGGGGAAAUGCCGGGGCUGUUUGCUGAGGGAUUAGGGCCGGUCCCGCCGCGCCGGGGCCCGGGAUGGGGGUGGGGUGGGGGGGCGGCGGGCGCGGUGGGUGUCCCCGCGGAGAAGUCCGUUUGGAGAUCUGCGCUGAUUAACUGAGGGCUGCGGUGGCUGAAGAGGGCCCUGGCGCCAGGCGGCUGAGCCCUCACAAUAAAGACCCGUCUCUUGUCACUUCAUAUUUACCCCCAAAUCUUCAAAAAGCGCCCUGCGAUCCUUACAAGGCUCCUGCCCCCGCCGCCUGCGCUGCGGCCAGACGGGACGGGGACGGGGGGGCGGAGGCGGCCCCCUCCUCUGCCCACGGCUCCGCGGGUGCGCAGCGACGCGCUGCCUUCCUGGGGACCGCGCUGGGCCGCUCCCCGCGGAGGGUGAGACGCGGGGACCCCCGGCAGCCCUCUCCCCACCGCCACCUCUCCGCUGUUUCUCCCCACAUCGUGGUUCAUCGUGCUGCCAGCAAACCCCGGUGCUGCGAAGGGCCCGAGGAGAAGCCCCGGAGGCGGCCGCAUCCCGCCCCGUCCCGCGGCAGGUUCACCUCCAGCCGUCGCCUCCCGACGGGGCGGACACAGCGCGGCCACCGCGGAGCUGCCCUCACCGCCCCGGCCGCCGCGCGGGGCUGAGGGGGGUGUGUGUGUCUGGGGGGGGGGGGGGAUCGGUCCCGCUGACCAUUGAACGGGGCGAGGUGGCGAGCGGGGAUUGAAAUUUAGACCUCAUUUGGACUUUGCUUCCUCGCCACCGUCGAAAUGUGCUGACUGCAGCUUUGGCAAAAAUGGGGCUUGCUUGGGCUUUUUUUUUCCCUUUUUUUUUUCCCCCUCCCCUCCAAGCACACCCGGAUCCUCGCGUUGCCCCAGGGCCACAUCACCCCACUCCAGGGCACUGCGCAGACCCGCAGACACCGCACCCGCAGCUCCGAGGGGCAGUGCGGGGCCCCGCAAAGAAACGUCGCCUCUCCCCGGGCCCAGGUUCCGGGACCCCCCCGGCACAGCUGUAACGUCGCGAACGCCCACGCCUGCAGAAUAAAAACCGAUCCAGAGCCGCCUCGUCUCCCCGAGCCUCUGUGGCAGCGCCCGUCGGUGGGACAGCCGAGCCGGUAGACUUAGGCCUUGGCGCCAGGCCGUUUAAGACCUGUCAAAGUCCUUCAUAUUUCCCUCAUGUCACAUGGACCUUUCGCUCCCUUCCCCGCGCCAUGCGAGGGCCGUAAUUUGGAUCUGUGAGCUGUCGGGCCUCCGUCUUCCCCUCCUCCCGGCUCCUCCGGGCUGAGGCGGCUCCGCGCCCCGGGGCGCUCCUCUCGACGGUGCGGGGCCGCCCCACGAACCGCCGCCGGCCGCCUCUGGAGUGACUCUCGGAUUGAGCCAAAAAGGGGUUUUCUUCUCGUGCUGGAAGCGAGCCGUCGGGGCCCGCUUCUCGGCAGAGAUGAAGGGCGUUGUACGCCUGGGCCCUGACGGAGCCGGGCAGCAGCGGCCGUUGUGCACCUUCCAGAGGUGGGAAAAGGCCGGGCCGCGAAAGAGCCGGGUCCGCUGCGGGGGGUUCCUCAGCCCGGUGGGGCCGCCGAGGGCCGGGCUGAGCGGCUGUCCAUCACCGGACGUGGGGCACCAGAGUCCUCUGCACGUGCAGUGCACAGCAAUCCCGCAGGUGCGGGCUGGGAGCUCGUGGAAAUAACCCUUCGCCCUCGGAGGAGCGGCCCCGAAGCUCUCUGCCACUUUUCUCCCUCUCCACCUGGAGAAGAGACACGGGGGAACGUCCCCGCCCCGCGCUGAGGUGCCCGUCGAGGGGCGGCGGCUGCCCCACAGGUGGGGCGGGGAGAGACCCGAUGAUCGCCCCGUCCCGGGCCCCGUGGGAUGCGCCUUUAUGGAUAGCGAUGCCCGGCCCCGGCCACACCACCUCUUCCCGCUGUGCGCCCCGUCCGUGCGGAGGGAACCCCGGCACCCCCUGAGCUCCCCCCACCCUCAGCCUGUUUAGAUUUCUCUCCGAAUGUUUCCCGUAAUCCAGAUUUCUGGAAAAUAACCACACGCGGGCAGACGCGGCCACGAACGCCGCUGAAGUUUAUCCGGAGUUUUACCAACGUAUAAACACAUUUCCAGCCCGUUCGGCGGGGCGGGCGCUGGGUGACCCCUGCCCGGCACCGGGGCUGCACCGCGCUCCGCCCUCGUUACCUCCGCGCCGCUUUGAUCCGGAGCCCUCCGAGCUCCGCCGCUUGAUUGAGUUUUUGCAAUUAAGGAGCGCAGGGAGAGGGAGGGGGGGGGCGGCCGUAACCCCGCACACCCCGGGGCUGCGCACGUCGGGGCGCGGCGCCUCGGCCGCUCCGAGCCCGUUCCCUUAAAAGGCGACGGGAGCCCCGCGCAGCGCCGGGAGGGGGGGGGGGGGAACGCGGCGUGAAACCCGAGCGGCACUGCGGGGGGCGGGCGGCGG
ensembl:lncRNA